rnacentral:rRNA from 1 species
CAGUAGCCGCGGUAAUACGUAGGUGGCAAGCGUUGUCUGGAAUUAUUGGGCGUAAAGGGCUCGCAGGCGGUUUCUUAAGUCUGAUGUGAAAGCCCCCGGCUCAACCGGGGAGGGUCAUUGGAAACUGGGAAACUUGAGUGCAGAAGAGGAGAGUGGAAUUCCACGUGUAGCGGUGAAAUGCGUAGAGAUGUGGAGGAACACCAGUGGCGAAGGCGACUCUCUGGUCUGUAACUGACGCUGAGGAGCGAAAGCGUGGGGAGCGAACAGGAUUAGAUACCCCCGUAGUCCCUGUCUCUUAUAC